rnacentral:misc_RNA from 1 species
GCGGAAGGAUCAUUAGAAAAGUACGGGGGAGACGUUGCUCUCGUUUCUUGGGAAGCGGGACGACGUUUCCUUUUAGUAUCCAAACUCUAAAAAUUUAUUCGUUUCGGAGUCUAAUAUACAUUUGUAUGGUAUGCUAGAUUCAAAAAAAAAAAAAAUUGAAAACAAAACUUUCAACAAUGGAUCUCUUGGCUCUUGCAUCGAUGAAGAACGCAGUGAAGUGCGAUAUGUAGUGUGAAUUGCAGAAUUCCGUGAAUCAUCGAAUCUUUGAACGCAUAUUGCCCUCUCCUGGUAUUCCAGAGAGUAUGCCUAUUUGAGGGUCAUUUAAAAUAAUAUAAGUUCCAAGAUUUCUUGGAAUUAAAAAUGGGUCGUCCAGUUUUUGUGGUCGCCUAAAAUGCAAGACAAGCUCAUUUCUUGGGCUGUGUGAUACUUUCAGUUACCUCGUGACUUAACCAGGAAUUUUCGAGCGUGUUGAGAAUUUCGCACGAGAUAAAUUCUAUUUAUCUCGUGCGAAAUAGAAAUUGAAUCAUGACCUCAAAUUAGGUAGGAGUACCCGCUGAACUUAAGCAUAUCAAUAAGCGGAGGA